UGAGCCAAGGAAGAGCUCAGCUGGACACUGAGCUUCAGGAUGUCUUUGCAAUGGGUGUGUGGUGCAGACUUCACAUUUUCAGUGUGUAACAAUAGCAGGAGAGGACUUUGAAGGGUUUCUGGGUUCUCCCUCAGCACUUCCCUUUGCAUUCCCAAUCCUGGCCCAAGCUGCUCCAUCAGUCUGACUUGUCUUUUCCUGCCAGGUCCCCCAUUUAGUCCAUAGCUAAAUGUCUUGGGGCAUGAAUGGGGACAAGACUAGUUGCUUGAUGUAAACACUGUGUUCUACUCUUUGCAGGCUUCCUUGCUGUAUCCCACUGAAGGGGAUAAGAAGAAGGAAUCACUGGGACUGCCUUUGAUCCCCCCGAUACGCAGGGCAGUAAGUCCCGAUGUUGGCAGUGCUGCAGGGUCUCUGCAAAGCUCUCUGCAGCUGGAUGUGCAAGAGUCCCAGGAGAUGAGGUCCACACCCAGCAGCAGAAGUGAAGAUGAUGAAUCUGAAGAAGGAGGGCUGACUAGGUUCAUUUUUUCCGAAUCUUUCCGGCUAUCUCCUUCUAUGCUCCUUCCCUCCGAGCCGUUGCCUCCCAUCCGGAAAACCUCGCAGUCUUCCAACAGAAGAGAAAUGUGCAGCGUUGAGAAGGAGAGUGGGAAAAAUGGCAGUGGCUACGAUGAAGACACCAGAGAAAGAGAGGAGCUGAAGUCAAAGGGAAAAAGGUGUAAGGUAAGGAGACCAAGCUAUGUCCUGUGUGGGAGAUUUUCAGUCGAUGUGCUGCCAGCAGAGCUUGGAGAGCUUUCCCUGUGAAGUGAGCCCAGGGAAGCAGCUGAGGCAAGGAAGAGCUCAGCUGGACACUGAGCUUCAGGAUGUCUUUGCAAUGGGUGUGUGGUGCAGACUUCACAUUUUCAGUGUGUAACAAUAGCAGGAGAGGACUUUGAAGGGUUUCUGGGUUCUCCCUCAGCACUUCCCUUUGCAUUCCCAAUCCUGGCCCAAGCUGCUCCAUCAGUCUGACUUGUCUUUUCCUGCCAGGUCCCCCAUUUAGUCCAUAGCUAAAUGUCUUGGGGCAUGAAUGGGGACAAGACUAGUUG
rnacentral:lncRNA from 1 species